CCUACGGGAGGCAGCAGUGAGGAAUAUUGGUCAAUGGGCGGAAGCCUGAACCAGCCAAGUAGCGUGCGGGAGGAAGGCCCUACGGGUCGUAAACCGCUUUUGCACGGGGAUAACACGCGCCACGUGUGGAGGUCUGCAGGUACCGUGCGAAUAAGGGCCGGCUAAUUCCGUGCCAGCAGCCGCGGUAAGACGGCAGGACCGCGCGUUAUCCGGUUUUAUUGGUCUUAAAGGGAGCGUAGGCGGGCGUGCAAGGCAGCUGUACAAUCGCGCGGCUCAACCGCGCCCCGCCGUUGAAACUGGCCGCCUUGCGUUCACAACAGGCAGGCGGAAUUCGUGGUGUAGCGGUGACAUGCAUCGAUAUCACGCGGAACCCCGAUUGCGAAGGCAGCCUGCCGGGGUGCGACUGACGCUGAGGCUCGAACGUGCGGGUAUCAAACAGGAUUAGAUACCCGAGUAGUC
rnacentral:rRNA from 1 species